AACGAACGCUGGCGGCAUGCCUAAUACAUGCAAGUCGAACGAUCACUUCGGUGGUAGUGGCGCACGGGUGCGUAACGCGUGGGAAUCUACCCUUGGGUUCGGAAUAACAGUUAGAAAUGACUGCUAAUACCGGAUGAUGACGAAAGUCCAAAGAUUUAUCGCCCAAGGAUGAGCCCGCGUAGGAUUAGCUAGUUGGUGAGGUAAAAGCUCACCAAGGCGACGAUCCUUAGCUGGUCUGAGAGGAUGAUCAGCCACACUGGGACUGAGACACGGACCAGACUCCUACGGGAGGCAGCAGUAGGGAAUAUUGGACAAUGGGGGCAGCCCUGAUCCAGCAAUGCCGCGUGAGUGAUGAAGGCCUUAGGGUUGUAAAGCUCUUUUACCCGAGAUGAUAAUGACAGUAUCGGGAGAAUAAGCUCCGGCUAACUCCGUGCCAGCAGCCGCAGUAA
rnacentral:rRNA from 1 species